GAAAAGGGAACAUUGUCAUGGCAUAGUUAAUUUCGACUAAUAGUCGACCGCUCAACUGGUAGGUGUGCCAUGUUUAAAUAAAUGUCUAACCAGUCCCAAGAUAAACUUUCGUGCGAGUUGAUCUCGAACAGAGUGACUUGAUAUGCAUUUGCUUCAUGCGCAUCUGUGAUCAUGUAUAAAGAAGUAUGUGCUAUGUCUUUCUACUCUAUAAAAAAUUAAGUAACAAGCGCUUCUAGUUUAUGGUGUAAUUUACAUGUAAAUUACAAGUUUCAAGUAAAAUACAUUGAUUUUUAUAUUUAAUUUUCAACUUUCACACGUGCGUAUCGCGUUUAAAAGCUUUAGAUAUGACAAAAUGCCAUGAUAUAAUGUCUUUUAUUAGAUCACUCGUUCACAACAUAUGAUUCACAACGAUAUGAUCGCAUGACGACUAUUUUACACCUUCGAGGCCACCAGUGGAAUGCUGGGUUACUUCGUGAUGAUAAUACAGCUCACUGAUUAUCGUGGACCUCGAAGCCUCCUCAGGGUCGCUUAAGUUACGUUGUAACGAUGCCCAGGCGGCGAACCGGUUGCGGCUCCGGAUCCUCAGGUCCUGCCACUGCACUUAUUUGGCCCCGGGAUCGCCCUCCAUCACUAACCCGAUCCCAAUGCAGACGAAAACAAGAAGAAAAGGGCACGAAGGAACCCGCAAAAAUUAACCACGCGCUCGCUCGCACCUGGUCCAAGGAUAAAAACACAUAGUCGGUCCGGUUCGGAAUUCAAAUAUUCCUCACCGCAAAAGAGAAACUCCGACCAGCUGCAAGCUUUUAUGCACACUGCUUUCGUCGUGAUAAUCUUUCUAUGGAAAGAGAAAGAGUGAGUGAAAAAGUGAACAAUAAUAAUACGUGAUGCGAACGCUACAAAUAAAUGCUAUGCAUAAAUUUCGUUUGUUUGACGAGCUGGUUAACAGUCGCUGUACAGCUCUUAUUGCAUGCGAGAAUCAAGUUGACAUCAAUGACAGAAUGCAAUGCAGUAAAUAUAUUAUCAUUCACAGCUUUUUCCUCUCGAUAACGUGUCAAUUGUGAACACUUCCGGGACACAAUGCGCUAGAUAGUCGCACUUCGUUUUCAGAGAGAUACAAUCGCGAUGCGCCAGCAGGCUAGAUUUAUAAAUCUAACGAUAAAUCUAUCACAGCGGGGCAAAAGCUGACCACUAUCGCGGCCAUGGUUACUUGCCAGAAGCGCCCUGCAAACCUUAUAUUAUACAUACAGUCGCGUGCAAGGUUCUCUUUCCCUUUCCUCUCGUUAGAGACACUGCCGGCCGCCACACGGCAUUUUAUUUUUUCUCUUUUUCAAAUAAAUAAAUGAACCGUAAGAAAUACGAUUUAUUCCCGCAUCGUUAUUUUUAUUUUUUCUCCAUUUUGUCACUUGGUCAUUACUCGCAGUUAGAAAGCGAAGCCCUUCGUGCGCAUCCUCAAGAGGCCGGAUACUCUUUUUCCUCCUCUAAAUAGGGAAAUCUAUAACUUCCCCGCAAGAGAUCCUCGCCUUUUCAUAUUUACCCCCAUACUUUAUUAUACAAAUGGUUGAACCCUUCAGCGGUCUAUCAUUAAUACGAGAAAGUUAAAAAGAAUUCUCAAGAAAUUCGCAACGAAUUAAAUAAAUUUCAAGACAAAUAUUCUUUGUUGUAAUUAACCAAACUCUUGAUUCAUAUUUAUAUUUUGAUAAAGCAGUUAUUAAUUUUUUCAUUACGAUAAAUAUGAGAUAGGUUCCAACUAUAAACAAUUCGAUGUGGAAACCGUUAAAGCAAAUUCCCAAUACUUAAUUGUUGGACCUCGUUAAAGAUCCACUUUAUCAAAUGAAAAGAUCGCGUGAACACGCAAGUUGCACGCUAUUAUCAUUUGCUCAGCGGUCCCCGCCUAUGGCAUUGCAGGGCGUCACAUAUUCCCAUAGGAAAGGUAGAUAGGUGGUAGUUCCACGGACUACCGUUUGCUCAUAGUCAGUAAUAUCCGUAUAGACCAUCGAAGCAACACGUGCCAUCCCGACUUAUCAUAAAGUUCUUUCAUACUCCAAUAUACAUCGCGGUUCGUCGAGGAGAAGAAAGCUUAUUACUACAAAUACUAAAAUACAAUUAAUAAAAGUGUAAAAAAGAGUGACAAACGCAAACAAUAACGCGAUGAUGAACGAAUACGACAUGAAAGGCAUUCACAAAUACAUGGACCAUUCGGUUAUCCCAACGGAUCCUAACACGACAAUGCAUCUUGCCAAAAUAAACGUCAUUACACCAAUCAUCUCCGAGCCCAUACGCAACAUCAUGGACUUCACGCUUCUGGUGACAGGCGUCAGCUUAAAUACAUUGCUCGGUCUUGUUAUCAUAUUAAAUCCCUACAUGCACACUUCCACCAACUGUUACGUAAUGAGUCUAGUAUUUUCGAAUGUGUUAAUUCUGGUUGAACCGCUUAAGCAAGUACUCGAUUGGAGUUUCGAUAUAAAUCUGAACAUGAAUUUUGACUACAUGUUCUUGGUGAGCUUUUCCACGUCCAUUCUGACAAUAAUUCUGCUGAAAAUCGAAGCGUACAUCGUUGUUUGUCACAAAAAUUCACGUCUUCAUAAGCAAUUGUUGAACAUUUCAACAGCUGUAAAAUGCAUCUUAUAUGUAUGGACAAUAUGCGUUAUGGUAACAGUCAUGGAAUUGCACUUGUACAUACACUUUGAAGAGGAGGUCAUGCAUCACAUUUACGAGACCUCUACCAUCAUGUUCCUAGUAUUUCCAUGUUUCAUUUUCGUAAUGCUCGAUUCCUUUAUUUUAUACGAUCUGAUAAUAUUGAAAUUAAUAGAUGGCACAUGGCCGAGCAAAGAUACCAAGCAUUUCAUUUUUCUGAUUGGCAUAACUAUUGGAUAUGUUUCAACUAUGAUACCAUACCGAGUCACGAGAGCUAUUGCUCUUGUAACAGAAUCUUGCUGCAGCGAUAUGGCGAUAGAGGUAGUUUAUACAAUGCUUAAAAUAUAUCCAUUGAUUCUGCCGAUAACGUGUUUUGUCAUAUCGAACGAAUUUUGUCAAGCGAUCAAGGUAACACUAGAAUAUUAUCAAAAUCCAAUAUUAUACUCUAUUAAGUAGAUUUAUUAACUUUUUUAUUUCAGAAAAUGCUAGUUUAUCGACGAGAGAUGAAAUUUUCGCCAUAAUAACCGAGUAAGAAAUCACAAAUAUCGAAACAAACAGUGAUACGUAUAAUAUACAGCACGUGCGACAAGUGCGAUCAGUCCGGAAGUGAUAAUGUACGUGCUUCAGGAAUUCAAUGAUUGCAGUGUUGCAUCGAUGUAAACAGACAUCGCUUCAAGCACCUCUUAUGAGGUCGUUUAAAUCGUCUACAAUAUCCGCUAAGGAUAAAAAAGCAUGCCAUUAAAAAAAAUGGUGAUCCUGAAAUCUUCGAAGUACCUCAGAGAAAAACAACAUGUUAUGACCUUCUUAAUACCGUAUACAGCUUUUGUAACUACAAUAUUUUCAUCGUGUAUAUUAAAAAAUAUCUAUGAUUCUAUCACCUUUGAGCAUCAUCUUAUCCACUUUAUAUAAUCUUGUAAGAAAUCGUCACACUUAUGUCGCGCUUUCAAAUAAUUUAUUAUUCCUAAGACUAACUUAAAAUUCAUGCGUAGCAAGCACAUCCGCUCUCAUGAGGGAAGUAAGAAGCAACGAGCAGAGAAUCUGCACAGAAAUUUUCGAAUUCACCGAGCUCUGUAUGCAAAUUAGCUUCCUCUUAAGCCUCUCCUCUCCGAGAGCAAAAGUUAAACUAGCAUUGUACUUGUGAGUCUCAUGUACGUUUAUGCAGAUUAAGAAAUAUGUAUUGUGUAUCUUGUAUUGUGCAAAUCAUAAUAAAUACCAC